CCUGCACGAAUGGCGUAACGACUUCCCCACUGUCUCCAACAGAGACUCAGCGAAAUUGAAUUCUCCGUGAAGAUGCGGAGUACCCGCGGUCAGACGGAAAGACCCCGUGCACCUUUACUGCAGCUUCAGAGUGGCAUUAGGAAAGAACUGUGUAGCAUAGGUGGGAGGCUUUGAAGCAUUGGCGCCAGCUGAUGUGGAGCCAUAGGUGAAAUACCACCCUGCUGUUUUCUGAUGUCU
rnacentral:rRNA from 12 species